rnacentral:ncRNA from 1 species
UUUCUUCGGGGCAGGGUGAAAUUCCCAACCGACGGUAACAAGUUAAUCUUGGAGUCCGUGACCCGCUGAUCAUUACGAUUGGCGGUUGAACCAGUGCGAGUCUGGUACCGACAGUUAAAGUCUGGAUGGGAGAAGAA